ACCACUGGGUCGCUUGCCUCGCACCACGCUGAAAAGACCUGUCAAAGGACCCCUAAACUCUGUUUUUACAACUGUAUCUCUGAGUCUAUUAUACAAAUAAGUUAAAACUUUCAACAACGGAUCUCUUGGCUCUGGCAUCGAUGAAGAACGCAGCGAAAUGCGAUAAGUAAUGUGAAUUGCAGAAUUCAGUGAAUCAUCGAAUCUUUGAACGCACAUUGCGCCUGAUAGUAUUCUGUCAGGCAUGCCUGUUCGAGCGUCAUUUCAACCCCCAAGCCCUAUUUGCUUGACGUUGGGAGUUUACGGAGACGUAAUUCCUCAAAUAUAGUGGCGGAGCUAGGUCGUGCUCUAAGCGUAGUAACCACAAUUCUCGCUUCUGCAGCCGGCUUAGGUCCUGCCGUAAAACCCCUAUAUUUUUUUAUUGGUUGACCUCGGAUCAGGUAGGAAUACCCGCUGAACUUAAGCAUAUCAAUAAGCGGAGGAAAAGAAACCAACAGGGAUUGCCCUAGUAACGGCGAGUGAAGCGGCAACAGCUCAAAUUUGAAAUCUGGCCUUCGGGUCCGAGUUGUAAUUUGCAGAGGAUGCUUUUGGCGCGGUGCCUUCCGAGUUCCCUGGAACGGGACGCCUUAGAGGGUGAGAGCCCCGUACGGUUGGACACCAAGCCUCUGUAAAGCUCCUUCGACGAGUCGAGUAGUUUGGGAAUGCUGCUCUAAAUGGGAGGUAAAUUUCUUCUAAAGCUAAAUACCGGCCAGAGACCGAUAGCGCACAAGUAGAGUGAUCGAAAGAUGAAAAGCACUUUGAAAAGAGGGUUAAAUAGCACGUGAAAUUGUUGAAAGGGAAGCGUUUACGGCCAGACCUUUUCCUGGCGGAUCAUCUGGUGUUCUCACCAGUGCACUCCGCCAGGUUUAGGCCAGCAUCGGCUCCCGUAGGGGGAUAAAAGCAGUGGGAAA
rnacentral:rRNA from 1 species